UACGUAGGGUGCAAGCGUUGUCCGGAAUUAUUGGGCGUAAAGAGCUCGUAGGCGGUCUGUCGCGUCGGAUGUGAAAACCCAGGGCUCAACCCUGGGCCUGCAUUCGAUACGGGCAGACUAGAGUACGGCAGGGGAGACUGGAAUUCCUGGUGUAGCGGUGGAAUGCGCAGAUAUCAGGAGGAACACCGGUGGCGAAGGCGGGUCUCUGGGCAGUAACUGACGCUGAGGAGCGAAAGCGUGGGGAGCGAACAGG
rnacentral:rRNA from 1 species